GUGUAAUCAUGUCAAGUUUCACUUUGCAAUUGAAUAAUAACUUCUUAAAGGAUCUUGCUUUCUUAUAUCCCAACUUUAAUGUUGCAAAGAUGAAUAAAUAAAACGUAUUAUUUUCCUGUUAAUGCAUAAGCAUGCUAUUAACAAACUAAAAAUUGAACCUCAUUGUUCUGUGUUUGCAAUGGUGUAGGCAUUCUGUUAACUCCUUUAUAUGCUAUUAUUAAAUCGCAGCUUCUAACAAACUAGUUUAAAUUUGGCUUAUGAGCAGAUUAAAGAAUUACCUCAGGAUG
rnacentral:misc_RNA from 1 species